CUUGGUCAUUUAGAGGAAGUAAAAGUCGUAACAAGGUUUCCGUAGGUGAACCUGCGGAAGGAUCAUUAUUGAAAUAAAUCUGAUGAGUUGUUGCUGGUUCUCUAGGGUACAUGUGCACGCUUGUCACCUUUAUAUUUCCACCUGUGCACCUUUUGUAGACCUGGAUAUCUAUCUGGAUGCUAGCCAUUCGGGAUUGAGGAUUGACUUCAUGUCUUUUCCUUACAUUUCCAGGCCUAUGUUUCUUCAUAUACCCCAAUGUAUGUCAUAGAAUGUAAUCAAAUGGCCUCUGUGCCUAUAAACCUAUACAACUUUCAGCAACGGAUCUCUUGGCUCUCGCAUCGAUGAAGAACGCAGCGAAAUGCGAUAAGUAAUGUGAAUUGCAGAAUUCAGUGAAUCAUCGAAUCUUUGAACGCACCUUGCGCUCCUUGGUAUUCCGAGGAGCAUGCCUGUUUGAGUGUCAUUAAUAUAUAUCAACCUCUUCAGCUUUUGCUUGUCGAGUGUUGGAUGUGGGGGUCUUUUUUUUGCUGGUCUUCUCAGGUCAGCUCCCCUGAAAUGCAUUAGCGGAACAAUUUGUGGACCGUUCAUUGGUGUGAUAACUAUCUACGCUAUUGACGUGAAGCAGUUCGGCUUCAAACAGUCCAUUGACUUGGACAAAUUUUCAUUAGUGUGACCUCAAAUCAGGUAGGACUACCCGCUGAACUUAAGCAUAUCAAUAAGCGGA
rnacentral:rRNA from 1 species